rnacentral:rRNA from 1 species
CCUACGGGAGGCAGCAGUGAGGAAUAUUGGUCAAUGGGCGCAAGCCUGAACCAGCCAAGUCGCGUGAGGGAUGACGGUCCUAUGGAUUGUAAACCUCUUUUGUCGGGGAGCAAGGCCCGCCACGUGUGGCGGGAAGGAGAGUACCCGAAGAAAAAGCAUCGGCUAACUCCGUGCCAGCAGCCGCGGUAAUACGGAGGAUGCGAGCGUUAUCCGGAUUUAUUGGGUUUAAAGGGUGCGUAGGCGGAAGGUUAAGUCAGCGGUAAAAUGUCGGUGCUCAACACCGGCCUGCCGUUGAAACUGGUCUUCUUGAGUGAGCGAGAAGUAUGCGGAAUGCGUGGUGUAGCGGUGAAAUGCAUAGAUAUCACGCAGAACCCCGAUUGCGAAGGCAGCAUACCGGCGCUCAACUGACGCUGAGGCACGAAAGCGUGGGGAUCGAACAGGAUUAGAUACCCCAGUAGUC